GACGAACGCUGGCGGCGUGCUUAACACAUGCAAGUCGAGCGGAAAGGCCCUUCGGGGUACUCGAGCGGCGAACGGGUGAGUAACACGUGGGUAACCUGCCCCUUGCUCUGGGAUAACUCCGGGAAACCGGGGCUAAUACCGGAUAUGACACUCGCAGGCAUCUGCUGGGUGUGGAAAGUUUUUCGGCGAGGGAUGGACCCGCGGCCUAUCAGCUUGUUGGUGGGGUAAUGGCCUACCAAGGCGGUGACGGGUAGCCGGCCUGAGAGGGCGACCGGCCACACUGGGACUGAGACACGGCCCAGACUCCUACGGGAGGCAGCAGUGGGGAAUAUUGCGCAAUGGGCGAAAGCCUGACGCAGCGACGCCGCGUGAGGGAUGACGGCCUUCGGGUUGUAAACCUCUUUCAGCAGGGACGAAGCGCAAGUGACGGUACCUGCAGAAGAAGCACCGGCCAACUACGUGCCAGCAGCCGCCGAGUAAAAC
rnacentral:rRNA from 1 species